rnacentral:rRNA from 1 species
CAGCAGCCGCGGGAAUACAGAGGGUGCGAGCGUUAAUCGGAUUUACUGGGCGUAAAGCGUGCGUAGGCGGCUUCUUAAGUCGGAUGUGAAAUCCCUGAGCUUAAAUUAGGAAUUGCAUUCGAUACUGGGAAGCUAGAGUAUGGGAGAGGAUGGUAGAAUUCCAGGUGUAGCGGUGAAAUGCGUAGAGAUCUGGAGGAAUACCGAUGGCGAAGGCAGCCAUCUGGCCUAAUACUGACGCUGAGGUACGAAAGCAUGGGGAGCAAACAGGAUUAGAUACCCCUGUAGUCCCUGUCUCUUAUAC